rnacentral:lncRNA from 1 species
UGUUGAAGGAAUUGUUCUGAAUUGGUUCCAUAUAAACUGAAUUGAAUUAAAAGUUAUUCAUAGAAACACUAAAGUUAUGUGUAAAGUGUUUACUGGGGUCCCCAUACACUUCACAGGAGUCGCCCCCUGUUGGCUGAUAUAAAUAAUGCUGUCUUAAACCACAUGGGCUUCUUGAAGCUAUGCCCAUCUUUUAUAUACAGUCUCUGAUUUGGGUCCAUGAUUAUUUAAGGCGCUGGUUUUAUCGAGUAUCUGUUUCCAAUCAACGACAACAUAAAAACGUCCCCAUUUAAAUGUUAACAUUGAAACAUGUUCAUAGACUAUAAAGAGCAUCUGUUACCUGCUACCCACAAAAAAGUUUGUGUUUGUGGUUGUAAAGCUGCGUGGUUACAAGCAGCAGGAAGAACAGGCGUGUUCACAGAGGCCGAGUUCCUGUUCUCAGAUCACACAGGAACUAUUCAGACACUUCCCACUGUGUCAGGAUGAAGGUGAAGAUCUUCUGCUGCCUGUUAGCCUGCACUCUGGGCUCUAAUGUCACUGCUGGUUUAACCCAUGAAGUAUUUAAGGAGGGGACACAGGUCAGUCUGCGCUGUCCUCACUCUGUGGAGGGUAAAGUGAGGUGGAGCAGAGAGAGUGGAGGAAACAGAACUGACAUACUUACAGCUGAUGGAGACGGAAAUAUAAAACACAUCAAUGAUCCACAGAAACGAUACAGUUCACUGGCUGAUCGAUCUCUGAUCAUCGUCAGAGCUUCUGUCUCAGACUCUGGCAGAUACUUCUGUAACCAUGAAGCAGCUGUGGAGCUGACAGUGAUCCCAUCAGGAACUAAAAUAGUGAGUGUUGCAGAGAGGAGCAGCAUCACUCUGAACUGUUCUCAUGAUGUUGGAGGAUCAGCUGUUCCAACAUGGAGCAGAGACUCUGGAGAAAUAAAUGAAGGAAGGAUUUCUGUUCCCACUGAGGACAAAACAUUAAGUAUAAGAGAAGCUGAGCCUGCUGACUCUGGACUGUACUACUGUGAUGGAAAACCAGCUGUUUAUCUGAAUGUGACCAAAGGACAGAGAUCUGACAGAGAUAAUAUGACAACAACAACAACUACUACUACAAAAACAACAACAACACCAACUACUGCUACAACUCAUAAAGCAUCAGUAACACCUGCAUCACCCACUGAGGCUCCAUCAGUGCAGAGUUUCCUGAUUGGAACUGGUCUUCUUCUUCUCUCCACCCUCAUCCUCAUCACUGUCUACUUCAUUUGGAGAUGCAGGUCCAACAGACGAGAUUCUCCGUAUUCUGUGAUUGGUGCCACGUUUAGUGAUGGAAAUAAAAAAGGUUCUUCACAGCCCGUCAACAACACGUAUUUCUUACUGGAGAAACCCAAAGCAUGAAGAAGCGGGCCGGACCAGUUUAGUUUCACCUGAAUGCUCUGCUGUCAGGAACAAUCUCACUCAGCACAGAUGUUUAUGGGAACAUAUAACAUGUAUAUGUAGAGAUUAUUCUGUAUUAUUGUAAAAACCUAUGUGUGUUACUGUUAGUCAUAAUACGAUCUGAAAACAUGAAUACACCAGGAACUGUAAAAAAACCAAACAGUCCUGAACGCUGUCAUCAGGUGAAAUAUUGCUCUGACAGAUGUUUUUAUUCUAAAAUGUUUUUUAAUAUGUGUGUGUACAGAUGUGUGUGUACUGAUGUGUGUGUACUGAUGUGUGAGUACAGAUGUGUGAGUACAGAUGUGUGUGUACAGAUGUGUGUGUACUGAUGUGUGUGUACUGAUGUGUGAGUACAGAUGUGUGAGUACAGAUGUGUGUGUACAGAUGUGUGAGUACAGAUGUGUGUGUACUGAUGUGUGUGUACUGUAAAACUGUAAAUAAAUUCAUUUUGAAAAUUAAAGCAUUAAAAAUGUCAUUAAAUUGUUUUUAGAGCCUGUUUCUACAGUGGGAAUUCAUCAUCAGAGCAACUUUUUUAAUUAUGUUAAAUUACAUCAAAUGGAUGUUUGUAUGAGAUGUUAUUGGUGAUUAUAUGUUUGGGACGUUUACUCAAAGUAAUUCUAAUAAUGCCAACAGAGACUCGGCCUCUUAGAACAGAGAUGUCAACGACACUUUUUACCUGGAU